GGAGAACCGUUACGCAGUAGUAGAUGUAUGCUAUCCUCAAUCAUUGGUUCGCCUGAGGGCCCUUUUGCUUAGAUAACUGAUGUUAUGUGUAAUGAACUUUCCAGGGUUUGUAGGCCUUUCUGGUGGAUAACCAGUUCAAUUUAUGCUGAAAUUAACGUAAGGAAAUUGGUGUGGUUCACAGAGGAUGGCAUCUGUGGAGGAGGGUGUAUGAUUUAUACCUCAAGUAUAUUAACAUUUUCAGUCCUUUGUUACCGCCCCAACCAAUGGAAAGUUCAGGCUUUGUCUACGUGACCAAUAAAUGUUCCCAUUUCUGCCCUUUCUUAUUGGGCUUUCAGGCUGAACUAUUUGGCUGUCUUCAUGUGCAAUAUUUCAAUUCAUUUUUUUAGUUUUAUUCUGCAUCAUCUAAAUUGUUAAAGUUUUUUAUCAUGUUAUUUGUAGGAACAAGUAGUUUGCAGUUGUUGAAAAUCCGGGCUUCUAGAAUUGGACAUUUACUUUGAAGGAUAUAAAUGGGGAAGUGCUGGCUGAGAUAGAUCAUGAUUGGAGAGGUUUCGGUUUUGAGAUCUUUACGGAUGCUGGUCAAUAUUUGAUCCGUUUUGGGAAUGCUGAUUCCUGGUCCAAGACUGGCCCUCCUGAGUCUUAAGCACCACGCCAGAAAGUUGAUUCUCCUGUAUUUUAAAUCCAUUAAUACAACAAUUUUGCCCUGGGCAGAUUCAAGAGUUGGAAGUUGUUCGUCCUUUAAACCUGUUCGAGAGAGCUGUAACUUUUGCUUUAGUUAUAUCUCUGGAUAUUAUUAUUUUUCGAGGCAUGGUGGCUGGUAAGCUUUUUGGUUAGAUCUUAUAAUGACUUAGGUAUUGAUAUAACGCAUUCGCUUGACGGCACGAAAAUUAAGCUUAAAGGUUGGAAAUUCUCUGUAUGAGCUUGGCACUUGAGCUAGGUUUCCCAGCCUACUGUUGU